UGACAAGGAACCGAGCGAGGGUCCAUCUCAAACUAAAAGCAUGAAGCAGUAUUAAAGGAUCAACAGGGCAAAGUGAUACGUACUUGAUGGAAUUACAUGCUUCUGUGUAAUCAGGCUGGAGAGGAGAAUUAUGAUGGAUUAGAAAAGAAUAUGCAGUACAGUUUCUCCAUAAAAAGGUUCAGGAGGCCAACCCCCUCGACGUACGCCUUGUUCUGCAUGCUCAUGAUCAGCGUCCUGUUCCCAUCGGCCGCGUCGCACACCGCCACCUGCAGUUCAUCGUC
rnacentral:lncRNA from 1 species